GGGCGAAUGGUUUAGUGGUAUAAUACUCCCUUAGCAUAUUCGCCACGAUUGGGAGUGGUCCAGGGUUCGAUUCCCUGUUCGUCCA
rnacentral:tRNA from 2 species